GGGCCCGCACAAGCGGUGGAGUAUGUGGUUUAAUUCGAUGCAACGCGAAGAACCUUACCAGGGUUUGACAUCCUGCGAAUCUCUUGGAAACAGGAGAGUGCCUUCGGGAACGCAGUGACAGGUGGUGCAUGGCUGUCGUCAGCUCGUGUCGUGAGAUGUUGGGUUAAGUCCCGCAACGAGCGCAACCCACGUCGUUAGUUGCCAGCAUUUAGUUGGGCACUCUAGCGAGACCGCCGGUGAUAAACCGGAGGAAGGUGUGGAUGACGUCAAGUCAUCAUGCCCCUUACAUCCUGGGCUACACACGUGCUACAAUGGUUAGGACAAAGAGUUGCGAGUUCGUGAGAACCAGCU
rnacentral:rRNA from 1 species